rfam:Triticum aestivum genome assembly, contig: Triticum_aestivum_CS42_TGACv1_scaffold_622002_7DS
CAUUUACUCCCUCCGUCCGGAAAUACUUGUUGGAGGAAUGGAUGUAUCUAAACUUAUUUUACUUUUAGAUACAUUCAUUUUUGUUCAUUUCUCAGACGAGUAAUUCCGGACUGAGGGAGUACUUU